CUUGUGUCAUCCUGAGAACCCAGGGAGGCAUCUAGAUUGGGAGCAGUAUCCCUGCCCUACAGAUGAGGAACUAUGCUCUGCUGUUUCCUAGCAGCUCUAGUCUAGGGAAAAGCAGACCUAGUUUCCUACCCUAAUUAUGCUACUUGUUACCUCUGUGACCCUCUGGGCAUCAUUUAACCUGAGUGUCAAUUUUUUCAUCUGUAAAACAGGAUGACAAAACAUUCUUAUUGCUUUCUUCCAUAAGGGAUUUCUUGAAGUGAGACUUGCUUUACACUACUCAGUAAGUCAAGGAUGGGACUGAGAAGCCAGGGUGUCAGGAGGGUGGAGGGCUGCCCCCUCCAUUUCUUCUCUAAGUUGACAGCGCUCACCUGCAACCUUUCUUUGUCAACUGCAUCACUUUUUUUUAAAGACAGACAGAGCCUCACUCUUAUCCAGGCUGGAGCACAGUGGUGUGAUCACAGCUCACUGCAGCCUUGACCUCGUGAGCUCAAGCAAUCCUCCUGAGUAGCUGGGACUACAGGCAUGCACCAUCAUGCCCAGCUAAUUAAAAAACAUUUUUUAAGAGAUGAGGCCUCACCACGUUGCCCAGCCUGGUCUUGAACCCCUGGGCUCAGGCAAUCCCCCUGCCUCAGCCUCCCAAAGCACUGGGAUUACAGGAAUGAGCCACCGCACCCAGCCAACGACAUCACUUUUGAUCAAAAAAAAUUUCUACAGGCCUGCUCGGAAUUUCUUAGUCUCUAGUCGAUUGCAUUUCACUUUACUCAGGAAUUGCAAGAAUUUGAAAAUAGACCCACUUUUAUGCAGGUGGCAGAAAGGACUUAAGAAAUACCAACUGGCCUCAAGGAACUGCAAGGAAAGAGCAAUGUGUUUGUCUCUCUCUAUUUGCUGAAGUCGAGAGAGCACCUGAACUGCUCUUGAGUUUCUCUUGGAAUCUUGUUAUUCACACCUGACAGAGAAGUUCAGCAAAGGCAACGUGAUGGUCUUCAAGGGCAAAGGGUUUCAAACAGAGGAAGCAAGAGGCACCAGGGACAUAAAAUCACCCCCCGCAUACCUUACUAUUGCUAGUUUAAAUCUUAACGGCUUAGUAAAUUUGCAUUCAAUUUUUAUUUUAUUUUAUUUUGUCUUUAUAACUCUGUAAGAGUUACAAGCAAGGUUGUAGGUUCUCUUGGAGGAAAUUCCGAGGUGCGGUGUGGAGGCAGGUGUCUGUGGUUUACCUGGGACGGCGAUGGUCCACUCUUCACAUUUGAAGCAUUCGCUUACUGCGGAGGGCGCGCCCAGCCCAGCCAUGUUCAUGGCUGCCACUUGGAACUGAUACACCAUGUUUUCCUUCAAGUUGCUAAUCUGCAACAUUGACAACAUCACAGAUACUGAAUGUUCCAGGUCACCUCCGUUGCCUCUGAGGGCUCACCAACUCCUGCAGAAUUAGAACAGCGGACACGGAAACAGUAGGAUUUCCCCUCGGCCAAGUCAAACAGAGCAAAGCGGGGAGACUUCACAGGGAGCUCCGUGUUCACUCGCUGCCAGUUUUCUGUUCCUGCCUCACACUGCAGCAAGAACAGGGAAACCCAUUGAAAGCACAGCAAACACAAGCGAGAAUCCAGGCCAGGCAACUCCAAGUUUCAUUCAUCUGCAACAAACCACUCCCUGUAAUGCAAGCUGGACUGGAGGAGAGAUGAGGAGGAAAUAGGGGAUGAGGCAUCUGAAGUUCGUAGGAUUCUCUAAAUCAAACUUGGCUUUUGAUACGGUUUGGCUGUGUCCCUGCCCAAAUCUCAUCUACAAUUGUAGCUCCCAUAAUUCCCAUGUGUGUGGGAGGGACCUGGUGGGAGAUAAUUGAAUCAUGGGGGCGGUUUCCCCCAUACUGUUCUCGUGGUAGUGAGUAAGUCUCAUGAGAGCUGAUGGUUUUAUAAGGAGAAACCUCUUUCACUUGGCUCUCCUUCUGUCUUGCCUGCCACCGUGUAAGACGUGCCUUUCGCCUUCCACCAUGAUUGUGAGGCCUCCCCAGCCACAUGGAACUGUGAGUCCAUUAAACCUCUUUUUCUUUAUAAAUUACCCAGUCUCUGGUAUGUCGAUCAACAACAUGAAAAUGGACUAAUACAGCGUUGUAUUGUUUGAAAAAUAUGCUACUUUAAUAUUUCUCUUCCUUUGUUAACUAAAUACAAUAAUCUGCUUACAAAAGUCUUAUUUUGAGGAUCGUUUGGGGUCAGGUAAUUUUCUAAUUUUAAUUAAAUUAAAUUAAAUUUUAUUUUAUUUUAUUUUUGAGACAGGGUCUUACCCUGUCACCUGGGCUGGAGUACAGUGGCACAAUCACGGCUCACUGCAGCCUUGACUUCUUUGGGUUCAAGUGAUCCUCCCACCUCAGCCUCCCAAGUAGUUGGGACUACAGGCACAUGCCACCACACCUGGCUAAUUUUUGUAUUUUUUUGGUAGAGACAAGGUUUCCCCAUGUUGCCUAGGCUGGUCUCGAACUCCUGGGCUCAAGCGAUUCACCCACUUCAGCCUCCCACAGGCAUGAGCCACUGCACCUGGCCUGCCCAUUACCUAUUUAAAAGAAUUCUUGGUCCUUUUCUUAUCACUCUCUGUUUCUUAGCCUGCUUUAUUCUUCUUCAAUCAUGUAUCACUAUUUGAAAUUAAGUUAUUUGUUGUCUCCUCCACUGAAGAGCAAAUCACAUAAGCUCAAGGAGCUUUGUUCACUGCUUUAUGACAGAGCAUAGAAUUCCAUCUGGCAAAUAGUACAUAAUCAACUACAGUAUUUUUUUUCUUUCUUUUUUCUUUUUUUUUUUUUGAGACGGAGUCUCGCUGGGUCGCCCAGGCUGGAGUGCAGUGGCACAAUCUCGGCUCACUGCAAGCUCCGCCUCCUGGGUUCACGCCAUUCUCCUGCCUCAGCCUCCCGAGUAGCUGGGACUACAGGCGCCCCCCACCACACCUGGCUAAUUUUUUGUAUUUUUAGUAGAGGGGGGUUUCACCGUGUUAGCCAGGAUGGUCUCGAUCUCCUGACCUCGUGAUCCGCCCACCUCAGCCUCCCAAAGUGCUGGGAUUACAGGCGUGAGCCACCAUGCCCGGCCCAGUGUUUUUUUUCUAAAUGACUGAAAGAUGAAGAUGUUUUUCUACUAUAUGAUCCAGCAAUCCCACUGCUGGGUAUCUAUCCAAAAGAAAGAAAAUCAGUAUGUCAAGGAGAUAUCUGUACUCCCAUGUUUAUUGCUGCACUCACAAAAGCCAAAAUAUGGAAUCAACCCAAGUGCCCAUCAGUGGAUGAAUGGAUAAAGAAAAUGUGGUAAAUAUGCACAAUGUAAUGUUAUUCAGCCACAAAAAAGAAUGAAGUACUGUCAUUUGCAGCAAUAUGAAUAUAAUUGGAGGUCGCUAAGUGAAAUAAGUCAGGCACAUAAAGACAAAUAUCUCAUGUUCUCAUUCAUAUAUGGGAGCUAAAAAAUUUGAUCUCAUGGAGGUAGAGAGUGGAAUGGUGGUUACCAGAGGCUGGGAAGGGUUGGGGGUGGUGGUGAAGAGAGGUUUGUUAGUGGGCACAAAAAUACAAUUAGAAGAAAUAAGUUCUAGUGUUCAAUAGCACAGUAGGGUGACUAUAGUUAUCAGUAAUUUAUUAUAUAUUUCAAAAUACCUAAAAGAUAAGAUUUGGAAUUUUCUCCACAAAAAUGACAAAUGUUUGAGGUGAUGGGUACCCCAAUUACUCUGAUUUGAUCAUUACACAUUGCAAAGAUGUAUCAAAAUAUUCAGUGUACCCUGUAAAUAUGUGCAAUGAUUGUGUAUCAAUAAAAACCAGAUUAAAAAAAGAUGUUCUCUUUUUUUGCCCAAGUCUUAGAAUAAUUAAUGGGAAAAUUAAUUUUUAAUGAGACUCUAUUCUUAAAAUUAAAAUGAUUUAGAGUGACUUGGAAAUCCUCGAAUGAAGGACGUGGUGUAUAUUUGAGCUCUGGUAGAAGAUACAGUAACAAAACUGUCAGAAGUCUUUGGUAAUCCUUAUUCCCUCCUAUUUUAAUUUCCAACUUUGCCCAUGGUUGGUAAGAGAAGAAAUUUAGAAACUCUUGCCUGAUUUCACUACAGAAUUUUGUAACGUUUUCAAAAGACUUUUCUGAAGUCCAGAUCUCGUGACAGGUUGACCAGCUGUCAGGAUGGUACAUUUUUGGGACUUUAAGUUUAUCAGUCCACCACACAGGAUGAUCUUCGUUGACUUGACAGACAGGCAACAUGGCAUGGCAUAGAGGAGACAAAGGGAUGGGAUCUGGUCCCUUUGUGUUAAUAACAAGCCACGUGACCUUGGAAAGCCACACGCAUGCUCUUGGCCUUGGUUUCGUCUUCUAUGAAACGAGCAAAUUUGACAAGGGAUCAAGGACAUGCCGUGAAGAAGAACAAGCACAGCGGUGGCCCAAGAGGCAGCAUGCUGGGUGCAGGGCAUCCUGGAACAGACGCAGCAGGGACAGGAGCACACAGACCUUUUCCCUUUAGAAAGGUUAGCAUAUCAGAACAGCUACAUCAGAAAUAAUUUUAGCCUCAGCUCAGAACAGUUUGACAUUUGGAUGGUUCUGCAAAUGUACCCCAGGUCCCUGGACGUGCUCUGUGUCCUCAAUACCCAACAUCCUGGGUGUUCUAUGCCCUGUGCAGGCCUCCCUACAUAGUACUGUGUUCAUAAACGUCCCCUUCUGUUCCAUGCCAAUAGGUGUGCUGGGGGAAGAAUAUUUAAAUUUUUAAUUACAAACUCACAGGUAUUUAGGUCGAGGGAAGUUAUAGACUUCCACAGAGAAAUUAGAGUUUAUAUGACCAGAGGAAAAGUUCAACAGAAGCCAAAGUUGACUCAUCUGCAGAAAACGCCUCCAAAUAGUUGUUAUGUGCCCUUAUUAUAGGAAAGAUGGUAACUACUGUCACAGAGGUUAUUCAGAACCUUCUUCCUGUGGAGUGUUUCAAAGAGAUUCAGUGGGGGUGUGUAUUAAACACACUAGGAAAUGAACAUUGAUCCACCACUCUAUUUUUGCCAUCUAUUUUCUUUUAAAAAGCUUAGAAUGCAGCCGGGCGUGGUGGGUCAUGCCUGUAAUCCCAGCACUUUGGGAGGCUGAGGCAGGAGGAUUACUUGAGGUCAGGAGUUCGAGAUCACCCUGGCUAACAUGGUGAAACCCUGUCUCUACUAAAAAUACAAAAUUUAGCCAGGCGUGGUGGCUCACGCCUGUAAUCCCAGCUACUAGGGAGGCUGAGGCAGGAGAAUUGCUUAAACCAGGGAGGCGGAGGUUGCAGUGAGCUGAGAUUGUGCCAUUGCACUCCAGCCUGGGCAACAGAGUGAGGCUGUCUCAAAAAAAAAAAAAGGCUUAGAAUGCUACUCAAGUUAUAUUAUAUUUGAAGCUGAUAUCUGGAAAGCAUAUAAAAAUUAAAUAUUGUCUUUGUAAAACAAGACUCUCUUGGAAGAUAUCCAUAUUGCAUGUAGAGGAGAUAAGGCAUUCAUUGUUACUGAUUUGCUAGGAAUAAAAAGGAAGUAAAGAAUGCAGCUCAAAGAUAUUUGCAUAUUGUCUUUAUGUUGUUACCUAAUUUUCAGAAGUUUGCAUACACCUACAUACCUAUGAAAUGUAUUCUCUUGCAAUAAUUAUCAGGGAAGGUGACCUAAUAGGUGUUACAAAAUUGAAUGAUCAAAACAGUAUUAAGGAUAAAAGAGAAAGACCUUUAGGAAAAUUAACUGAACACCAUAUUUUUAUAAAAAAAAAUUCUACGAUUUU
rnacentral:lncRNA from 10 species